rnacentral:rRNA from 1 species
CGGCGAGUGAAGCGGCAACAGCUCAAAUUUGAAAUCUGGCUCUUUCGGGGUCCGAGUUGUAAUUUGCAGAGGGUGCUUUGGUGUCGGCAGCGGUCUAAGUUCCUUGGAACAGGACAUCGCAGAGGGUGAGAAUCCCGUAUGUGGUCGCAUGCCUUCGCCGUGUAAAGCCCCUUCGACGAGUCGAGUUGUUUGGGAAUGCAGCUCUAAAUGGGAGGUAAAUUUCUUCUAAAGCUAAAUACCGGCCAGAGACCGAUAGCGCACAAGUAGAGUGAUCGAAAGAUGAAAAGCACUUUGGAAAGAGAGUCAAACAGCACGUGAAAUUGUUAAAAGGGAAGCGCUUGCAGCCAGACUUGCCUGUAGUUGCUCACCUGGGCUUUUGCCCGGGGCACUCUUCUGCAGGCAGGCCAGCAUCAGUUUGGGCGGUCGGAUAAAGGCCUCUGACACGUACUUCCUCUCGGGGUUGACAUAUAGGGGAGGCGUAAUGCGACCAGCCUGGACUGAGGUCCGCGCAUCUGCUAGGAUGCUGGCGUAAUGGCUGUAAGCGGCCCGUCUUGAAACACGGACCAAGGAGUCUAACAUCUAUG